CGCUGGCGGCGUGCUUAACACAUGCAAGUCGAACGAUGAAGAGCAGCUUGCUGCUUGGAUUAGUGGCGCACGGGUGAGUAAUAUAUAGGUAAUGUGCCUCUUAGUCUGGGAUAGCCAUUGGAAACGAUGAUUAAUACUGGAUACUCCUUCUAACUCUAAUGUUAGUCGGGAAAGUUUUUCGCUAAGAGAUCAGCCUAUAUCCCAUCAGUUAGUUGGUAAGGUAACGGCUUACCAAGGCAAUGACGGGUAGCGGGUUUGAGAGGAUGAUCCGCCACACUGGUACUGAGACACGGACCAGACUCCUACGGGAGGCAGCAGUGAGGAAUAUUGCACAAUGGGGGAAACCCUGAUGCAGCAACGCCGCGUGGAGGAUGACGCAUUUCGGUGUGUAAACUCCUUUUAUAUGUCAAGAAAAUGACGGUAGCAUAUGAAUAAGCACCGGCUAACUCCGUGCCAGCAGCCGCGGUAAUACGGAGGGUGCAAGCGUUACUCGGAAUCACUGGGCGUAAAGGACGCGUAGGCGGAUUGGAAAGUCAGAUGUGAAAUCCUACAGCUUAACUGUAGAACUGCAUUUGAAACUUCUAAUCUAGAGUAUGGGAGGGGGAGAUGGAAUUAGUGGUGUAGGGGUAAAAUCCGUAGAUAUCACUAGGAAUACCGAAAGCGAAGGCGAUCUCCUGGAACAUUACUGACGCUAAGGCGUGAAAGCGUGGGGAGCAAACAGGAUUAGAUACCCUGGUAGUCCACGCCCUAAACGAUGAACACUAGUCGUCGGGAUGCUUGUCAUCUCGGUGAUGCACUUAACAGAUUAAGUGUUCCGCCUGGGGAGUAC
rnacentral:rRNA from 1 species